AGGGAAUAUUGCGCAAUGGACGAAAGUCUGACGCAGCAACGCCGCGUGGAUGAUGAAGCAUUUCGGUGUGUAAAAUCCUGUCGGUGGGGAAGAAAAGUAUGAUGAGUAACUGCUUCAUACCUGACGGUACCCACAGAGGAAGUCCCGGCUAACUCCGUGCCAGCAGCCGCGGUAAUACGGGGGGGACGAGCGUUGUUCGGAUUUACUGGGCGUAAAGGGCGCGUAGGCGGGUCUUCAAGUCGGAUGUGAAAACUACCAGCUUAACUGGUAGCCUGCAUUUGAUACUGUUGAUCUUGAGUACGGGAGAGGAGAGUGGAAUUCCAGGUGUAGCGGUGAAAUGCGUAGAUAUCUGGAAGAACACCAGUAGCGAAGGCGGCUCUCUGGACCGAUACUGACGCUCAAGCGCGAAGGCUUGGGGAGCAAAC
rnacentral:rRNA from 1 species